rnacentral:rRNA from 1 species
AUUGAACGCUGGCGGCAUGCCUUACACAUGCAAGUCGAACGGUAACAGGUCUUCGGAUGCUGACGAGUGGCGAACGGGUGAGUAAUACAUCGGAACGUGCCCGAUCGUGGGGGAUAACGCAGCGAAAGCUGUGCUAAUACCGCAUACGAUCUACGGAUGAAAGCGGGGGAUCGCAAGACCUCGCGCGGACGGAGCGGCCGAUGGCAGAUUAGGUAGUUGGUGGGAUAAAAGCUUACCAAGCCGACGAUCUGUAGCUGGUCUGAGAGGACGACCAGCCACACUGGGACUGAGACACGGCCCAGACUCCUACGGGAGGCAGCAGUGGGGAAUUUUGGACAAUGGGGGAAACCCUGAUCCAGCCAUGCCGCGUGCAGGAUGAAGGCCUCGGUUGUAACUAGCUUUG